rnacentral:tRNA from 1 species
GCGGGCAUGGUGAAGGGGUAUCAUAGGUGCUUCCCAAGCAUCUGGCACGGGUUCGAAUCCCGUUGCCCGCUCCA